rnacentral:rRNA from 1 species
GAUCAAGUAAUUAAGAGCACAAGGCGGAUGCCUUGGCAGCUGAAGGCGAUGAAGGACGUAGUAACUUGCGAUAAGCUUCGGGGAGGUGGUAAACAACCUUUGAUCCGGAGAUUUCCGAAUGGGAGAACCCAGUGUGCAUAAGCACAUUAUCUUAUACUGAAUACAUAGGUAUAUGAGGCAAACCUAGGGAACUGAAACAUCUAAGUACCUAGAGGAAAAGAAAUCAAAAGAGAUUCCGGUAGUAGCGGCGAGCGAAACCGGAGUAGCCCUUAAGCUUUUUUAAGAUUAGCAAAACAGAUUGGAAAGUCUGGCCAUAGUAGGUGAUAGCCCUGUAUGCGAAAAUCUUUUAAGAGUGAAAUCGAGUAGGUCGGGACACGUGAAAUCUUGACUGAACAUGGGGGGACCAUCCUCCAAGGCUAAAUACUCUCAGCUGACCGAUAGUGAACCAGUACCGUGAGGGAAAGGCGAAAAGAACCCCGGCAAGGGGAGUGAAAUAGAACCUGAAACCUUGUGCUUACAAGCAGUCGGAGCAGACUUGUUCUGUGACGGCGUACCUUUUGUAUAAUGGGUCAACGACUUAAUUUCAGUAGCAAGCUUAACCGUUUAGGGGAGGCGCAGGGAAACCGAGUCUUAAUAGGGCGCUCAGUUGCUGGAAUUAGACCCGAAACCGGGUGAUCUAUCCAUGGCCAGGGUGAAGGUUAGGUAACACUGACUGGAGGCCCGAACCCACUUAUGUUGAAAAAUGAGGGGAUGAGCUGUGGAUAGGAGUGAAAGGCUAAUCA